GAUGAAGAACGUAGCGAAAUGCGAUACUUGGUGUGAAUUGCAGAAUCCCGUGAACCAUCGAGUCUUUGAACGCAAGUUGCGCCUCAAGCCAUUAGGUUGAGGGCACGUCUGCCUGGGCGUCACAUAUCGUUGCCUGAUGCCAGUUUCCUCGUGAUGGGUGACUGUGCAGGGCGAAUGAUGGCUUCCCGUGAGCAUUGUUGCCUCAUGGUUGGUUGAAAAUUGAGUCCUUGGUAGGGAGCGCCGUGAUAGAUGGUGGUUGAGUGACGAACGAGACCCAAUCAUGUGAGACCCCUACCGAAUUUGGCCUUCAUGACCCACAUGCGUCUUUGGAACGCUCAUGACGAGACCUCAGGUCAGGCGGGGCUACCCGCUGAGUUUAAGCAUAUCAAUAAGCGGCGGA
rnacentral:misc_RNA from 1 species